rnacentral:tRNA from 1 species
GCCUUCUUAGCUCAUCCGCCAACCGGCGGAAACUGACUUGUAAUCAGUAGGUCGUUGGUUCGAUUCCAACAGGGGCU